rnacentral:rRNA from 1 species
CAGGCCUAACACAUGCAAGUCGAACGCCUCAGCAAUGGGGAGUGGCAGACGGGUGAGUAACACGUGGGAACAUGCCCUUUGGUCUGGAAUAACUCAGGGAAACUUGAGCUAAUACCGGAUAAGCCCGAGAGGGGAAAGAUUUAUCGCCGAAGGAUUGGCCCGCGUCCGAUUAGCUAGUUGGUGAGGUAAUGGCUCACCAAGGCGACGAUCGGUAGCUGGUCUGAGAGGAUGAUCAGCCACAUUGGGACUGAGACACGGCCCAAACUCC